CUCUUCCUGACUUCCUAAAACGAAUCCUACUUCACUAUGCUGUGUAACAUUUUUGAUGUGCUGUUGGAUUCAGUUUGUUAGUUUGUCAUUAAGAAACAACACCUAGACAGGCAGGUCUGUGGACGCUGUAGCAACGUUGCUAGUUGCGUGGAAUGUGCCGAAUCAGCCCAUUGCAGACAGCUACCUGGUUCCACACUACAAAGACGCAGAGGACACCGGACCACCAGACCACUGUACUGGAUGGCUUGCAUGAUUGCUUAGAAAGUCAGAAAAUGGACCCAAAUUACAUCACAUUUAUAUCAAACAUAGUUCCAGUGUGGAUGAUAAAUUAUCUUGUUAUUCUAUAACCAAGACCCACACAAUGGAGGAUUCUUCAAAGAAUUCAUUAAAUCUGCAGAG
rnacentral:lncRNA from 1 species